rnacentral:rRNA from 1 species
GAUGAACGCUGGCGGCGUGCCUAAUACAUGCAAGUAGAACGCUGAAGGAGGAGCUUGCUCUUUCCGGAUGAGUUGCGAACGGGUGAGUAACGCGUAGGUAACCUGCCUGGUAGCGGGGGAUAACUAUUGGAAACGAUAGCUAAUACCGCAUAACAGUAGAUAUUGCAUGAUAUUUGCUUGAAAGGGGCAAUUGCUCCACUACCAGAUGGACCUGCGUUGUAUUAGCUAGUUGGUGAGGUAACGGCUCACCAAGGCGACGAUACAUAGCCGACCUGAGAGGGUGAUCGGCCACACUGGGACUGAGACACGGCCCAGACUCCUACGGGAGGCAGCAGUAGGGAAUCUUCGGCAAUGGACGGAAGUCUGACCGAGCAACGCCGCGUGAGUGAAGAAGGGUGUCGGAUCGUAAAGCUCUGUUGUAAGAGAAGAACGAGUGUGAGAGUGGAAAGUUCACACUGUGACGGUAUCUUACCAGAAAGGGACGGCUAACUACGUG